UUGGAUGUGGUGCACGGUGCACGUCAGCUACCACUAUUUAAGGUGUAUAGUGACGCUGUAAGCUGCAGCCCGGGGUUCGACUCCCCGCAUCUGAA